rnacentral:lncRNA from 1 species
UGAGUGUUAAUUAUAAAUUAUUACAAACCAAAAAUAAUGAAUUACAUCAGAAUAGUACAAAUGAAAUGUUAAAACUAGAGGAAACUUGAUUCUUGACUUCCUUUAUGAGUUAUGAAAUAAACCACCUCAAAUUCCACUGAUUCAAAGCCUUUAUCACACCUAGGUGUAUCAGAGUUCCCUAAGGGUCUCAAAGGACCCCGGACAAUGCUUACACCCAGGUUCAUAGAACCAUAUAGGGAUGAAUGCAGUGUGAAAGUGCCAGCCCUUAUGUGUUCAAGUUUAGAGGGAGGUCAUGGGUCCCAUGGCAAGGCUUACGCAAGAGGGGCAGAGCUUAAGUCUAAGAAGAUAGUGAAAGUGCAAGAACAGAGUUUUAAAUUGAAGGGAUAAAUGAGAGGGGUAAACGGUGAUAGGGAGACAGUAAUAAGUAACACAUAGGCCAUGAUUAGCUUUGGGAAUGGACAACAAUAGAAGGUGAUGGCAUGCCUAUAAACCAAUUAGAACACACAAUAUCUAGAGAAGACAUGGAGCUUAUGAUCCCAGGGGGAUCAGGUUUGGGUCAUGCACAGCAAUGUCCAAUGCUGUCAUGCCCCUAACCAACCACAGAUACUAAACACAUCGGGGAAGGGGAUUUAGGAUUCAUAAGUAAUGGACAAAAACAAUAAUUCAGAAUAGGAAGGGGUAGAUUACAACAUGUUUAAUAAUGAAACUUGGUUAAAUACAAACAGGAGACAAACAAGGAUGAAAAAGACAGUAAAGAAACAUGUUGCUGUUGAUGCAGAAGCUUAAUUAGAAAAUACCACUAAAGAUGAAAAUGCAGAGAAAAAUAAGAUUGUUUUCCAUAGCCUAGCCUUGGCUUUCAACCAGCUAGGUCAGGUAGCAAUACAAGUAGCAACACAGAAAAUAGAGAGAUUUUAGUGGAGUGUGUGCCUGAACUCAAGUAUUUUUAGGCCUUGUGUUUGUGUCUUUGAAAGAAGAGAAUGUGGGUAUUUAUAAUUUUGAAAACAUGUAAGACAUAAGGCAAUAAAUAAGGUUUAAUGCACAUAUAGAAGUAAUCAGCAAUCUGAAUCAAACAACCAAGUGAUUCCCCUUUAAAUGAGGCAUCACUUUUUUAAUGGGGCUAACACGUUUAAAAGAAAGAAAGAAAAUCAAUUUGUAGGCCAAAUGGUUAUUACCAUAAAAAGAAGCAGUAAAACAUUGAAUACACAAUAGAGUCCAAGUACAGAAGCACAUUUAUUAUGGAAAAGGGAUUCAAUAAGGCUGAAUAAGGAAAAGAAUCAAUUAAUUUUAACAGGUGAGUAAAAUUAGGAGUUCAUAAAAAGAAAGCCUUCAAAUCAGCCCCAAAGUUGAGAAUCAACCAAAGAAGGGGCCUCGGCAAAUAAAUAGAGUGCACAAACGAUGGAGAUGCAAGGCCAAACUAUUGGUAAAAGAAAUUGCAUGCAAUAGUAGCACAAAGUUAGUAGACAGCAAACAUUCAAGGCAUAAUAGUCACGUAGGUCGAGUUUCAUUGAAUUAGUAGUAAAGAUAAAAAAGAUAGAGUAUCAGAAGCAUACAAAGGGUCAAGUGAGAAAACCCUUCUGAAAAUCAUAGUCGAGUUUCAAACAUAGUAAGAAGCCGAAAUCAAAGGAAUCACAUAAAGAAAAGAGACGCUGAAACAAAGGAACUUCAAAUCAAGUCAGGUAUUCCAACAAUCAAUUUCAAACAAAUAAAUUGCACAAGCAGUUUCAGAAACUCGAACAGACCCCAAAGAAAUUAGGGUUUUCGACACCAAUCGAUUUUAAAGAUGAUGAACAAAUAGAUUACAUAAAUACAUAGCAAACUGCUUCAGAAACUCGAAUGAACCCAAAAGAAAUUAGGGUUUUCAACAUUAAUCAAGUUUAAAGAUGAUACACAAAUAAAUCAGACAAUAUUUAGCAAAUAGCCUCAGAAACUCGAAUGAACCCAAAGAAAUUAAGGUUUUCAACACCAAUCGAGUCUAGAGACGAUAAAAAAGUAAAUCAAAUAAACACCAACAAAUAUUCUCAGAAACCCCAAAAGAACUGAGGAUUUUUAUCAGGAAAACUCAUAUAGAAAAACAAUACGAGCAAACAGAGCAAAACAUGUCAAAAAUCGUAGAAAAUAUUUGAAAUAACUUAACAAGAAACCCUAAUCGAAAAAUAUAAAGAGUUUUGAAAGCAAAGUUUUAAGAAAACUUCGAGAAAAUUCUUAGAAAUUCAAAGCAAGCAUAGAUGUGAAGUAGAUCUGAAAGAAAUAGAAAGAACCUUAGAGAUUAGAGUUUCAGAAGAACCCCAAAAGCAACAAGAAAGGCUGUGAAAGUUAUCGAUCUAACCACGAGAGUCAAAGGCCUAACUCGAAUGGCCAUGGCUGGCCGGAGAAAGGCUAGAAAUGCCCGGAGAAGGGCCGUGAACUAAAAUCGAACGAAGGCUGGACCAGGGUUCUUCAUAGUCUAGUCUUGAAACCAUAAGGACAACACAUAGGAGCCAUAGAAAGGCUGAUACAGGUCUCUGAUGGCCUUGGAAGGCCAUGGAUUAGGGUAGAUUAAGGUGGCGGCAGCUAGGGUUUGAUGUUGUUGUAGAGAGGAUUUGAGAAAGGAGGGGAAUUCAGAGGUGGUGUAUGGUGGAAA